rnacentral:lncRNA from 1 species
CUACUUUCUUGGACUUAUCUGAUGCUAACCAACUCUCCACAAUUCUCCCAUUUCAAUCUUAUUCUCUAACCUUAUCCCAGUUCGUCUCAAUCUUAUUCUCUAGCCUUAUCCCAGCCUGGCCGUUGCCUCUCGCUCCCUAUUAUGCCCAUGACAUGGAACAAUGUCAUUGCUUUCUUUUGCUGUGAAAUCGAACAUCAUGGUUGCAUUUGAAUAAAAUCUUUGGCUUAUGUGUGAACAAUUUCUUUUGAGGAAAUGAACCUUGCCUUGCCAAUAUUUGGCCUGUAUGAAAAUGGACAACCAGUGGGAUUUUCUGCAAUCAUUUGGGGACAUGCAACAGGUUAAUCCCAUGCAAUUUACACAACUCAUGCAAAUGGGAGUAGAACCUGUCAGGGAUGCAAACCUUGGAGACCCACCAGUUUUCCCAUAGUCACAAGCAGAACAACCAAGUGGAAAUCAACCUUCAAGGUGUAACCAGAGGGGGAAGCAAUACCACUUCAGUAUUGAGGAGUACAAAAUCUUGGUUUCUUGCUGGCUUAAUGUCAGCCUUGAUCCUAUAUUUGGUGCUGGACAAUGGAAGGCGUCAUUUUGGAGGACUAUAGAAUAAAACUACAACUCUCAGAAAUCAACAGGACAUCCAGUCCGCACACUUAGGAGUUUGGAAUGGAGGUGGGAGCAAGACAACGAAUUCGAAAGCCAUUAUAUUUUAGUUUACAUGAAAAUCGAAGUGGGCACAACGACAGGGACAAACUAAGAUUUCAGUCCUUAAUGUUAUGCUUAAUGUAUUGUGAAAUAAUCAAGUACCUACUUCCUAUUGUA